rnacentral:rRNA from 1 species
GUGAGGAAUAUUGCGCAAUGGAGGCAACUCUGACGCAGCCAUGCCGCGUGCAGGAAGAAGGCGCUACGCGUUGUAAACUGCUUUUAACCGGGAAGAAACCCCAGGACGUGUCCUGGGUUGACGGUACCGGAGGAAUAAGCACCGGCUAACUUCGUGCCAGCAGCCUCGGUAAUACGAAGGGUGCAAGCGUUAUCCGGAUUCAUUGGGUUUAAAGGGUGCGUAGGCGGAGCGUUAAGUCAGUGGUGAAAUCCUGCAGCUUAACUGUAGACUUGCCAUUGAUACUGGCGCUCUUGAGUGCGCUUGAAGUGGGCGGAAUGUGCCGUGUAGCGGUGAAAUGCUUAGAUAUGGCACAGAACACCAAUUGCGAAGGCAGCUCACUAAGGCGAUACUGACGCUGAGGCACGAAAGCGUGGGGAUCGAACAGGAUUAGAAACCCGGGUAGUCC